rnacentral:lncRNA from 1 species
AAGAGAUCAGCCUGAAAGGGAGAAAAGAAACAAGUGAGGAGGAAGAAGAGCGAUGCAAACAUGGACACACCGUCCUCGCUGCAGGAACAAGAAUAAGUUCAUUAGUUCUAAGGCUGAGAAGGUGUUGCGGACUGCAAAUGGCACCCAACUCUUUUUAAGGCACCCAGAAGAUUCAGUGUGGCACUACCUGGAGCUCUAAGAAGACAACAGUAUGUGCUGUCUGUAAGAAAGCAGCAGGAAGGUGUUGCACGAAUUUGAUGGAGGACAUGUUUUCAAAGAUCAGAGACAGCAACUAUAUUUUGGAAGCUGUGCAGCAGAUUCACCAGAUCUACAGAUGGGAACAUACUGCCAGAACAGUCUCCCAUUUUGACAUCCAUUUCCUGUGCUCCAGUGUUGUGGGAGAGUCUUGGCAAGGGAGAGGCCUCUGCCACGAGUCAGGUUUCCAAUCUCUGAAUGCUACGCAAGACCUCUGGGAGGAAAUAUCUACAUCCAGGGGCAACUUCUCUGCCUGCUUGCCACCACAGCUAGUAUCAACAUCCCCUUGUGCUGGUGCUUGCGAGUCCAGCCCAGCCAGCUGCAAACUAUUUGCCAUGCUUCCUGGAGCACAGUUUGGGGAGCCUCUGCAAGA